UGUCACUCCCUCUUUUUCUCUCUCCCUUCUCUGCCUUUUAUGUCCCGUCCCCUCCCAUUCUUUCUACAGUGCCCAAGGUGCUGGGGCUGAAAGCAGCAAGCAGCAAACAAGAAUGUCCUGCAGAGGGCCAAAACCGGAUCGACUUACACCGAGCACACUGGAGUCUUUUUAUUUCUGUCCUCCCUAUAUUUUGGAAGCUCCAGCAGGAAUGUGGCCUGAAUUUAAACAUGAGGAGCCGCGACCAUUAACAGCUGCAGGCACAGAAAUAAGUCAUAAUCCUGAACAUGUGGUCAUGUUGGGUUCCAGGACCAGCAGAACCUUGAUGAACAGACUCCACCACCAGAUGGGGCAAUUAUCCAUGAGGAUGAGGAAGAGACUAAAUCAUCUGCUGAGGUGGGCUGAGGGGAGCAUGCUAUUAUAGGGCAAGAAGACUCCUUACUGGCUGGGCCUUGUGAUGUGCUCAAAAAUGAAGCAGGCCAACAGAGAUGACCUCAGUCUCCAUCCAAGAUCUACCACGAAACCCAUAAAAGGCCACUGGGCAGGGCAACAUGGUGUUCCUCCCUGGGACCUCCCCUACUCUCACAAGUUCUUUCCCCCUUUUCCUUAAUCAAUCUAUGUUCCUCCACUCCCUCCUCGUCUGGGUUUCUUAUUCUCCAUGGGUGUGAAACAAUAAACUCAAAAGCAUUG